AGUGAACGCUGGCGGUAGGCCUAACACAUGCAAGUCGAACGGCAGCACAGUAAGAGCUUGCUCUUACGGGUGGCGAGUGGCGGACGGGUGAGGAAUACAUCGGAAUCUACUUUUUCGUGGGGGAUAACGUAGGGAAACUUACGCUAAUACCGCAUACGACCUACGGGUGAAAGCAGGGGAUCUUCGGACCUUGCGCGAUUGAAUGAGCCGAUGUCGGAUUAGCUAGUUGGCGGGGUAAAGGCCCACCAAGGCGACGAUCCGUAGCUGGUCUGAGAGGAUGAUCAGCCACACUGGAACUGAGACACGGUCCAGACUCCUACGGGAGGCAGCAGUGGGGAAUAUUGGGCAAUGGGCGCAAGCCUGAUCCAGCCAUACCGCGUAGGUGAAGAAGGCCUUCGGGUUGUAAAGCCCUUUUGUUGGGAAAGAAAAGCAGCAGGUUAAUACCCCGCUGUUCUGACGGUACCCAAAGAAUAAGCACCGGCUAACUUCGUG
rnacentral:rRNA from 1 species